rnacentral:rRNA from 1 species
UGGAUAACCAUGGUAAUUCUAUGGCUAAUACAUGCGCAAUCGCCUCCUUCUCUGGAGGGGCUGUGUUUAUUAGAUACAAAACCAACCCACUUUGUGGAGUCCUGGUGAUUCAUAGUAACCGAACGGAUCGCAGUUGGCUUCGGCCCGCGAUGGAUCUUUCAAGUUUCUGACCUAUCAGCUUUCGACGGUAGGGUAUUGGCCUACCGUGGCAGUGACGGGUAACGGGGAAUUAGGGUUCGAUUCCGGAGAGGGAGCCUGAGAAACGGCUACCACAUCUAAGGAAGGCAGCAGGCGCGCAAAUUACCCAAUGAAAACAGUUUCGAGGUAGUGACGAGAAAUAACAAUACAGGGCAUUUUAUGCUCUGUAAUUGGAAUGAUGGGAAUGUAAAACCCUUUCAGAGUAACAAUUGGAGGGCAAGUCUGGUGCCAGCAGCCGCGGUAAUUCCAGCUCCAAUAGUGUAUAUUAGAGUUGUUGCAGUUAAAAAGCUCGUAGUUGGAUUUCUGUCGUGGUCAUCCGGUUCCGCCCGUAUGGGUGUGCACCUGGUUUGCCCUCGGCUUUCUUCCGGUAGCCUUCCGCGCUUCACUGCGUGUGUUGGUGUUCCGGAACUUUUACUUUGAGAAAAAUAGAGUGUUUCAAGCAGGCUUGUCGCCCUGAAUACUUCAGCAUGGAAUAAUAAGAUAGGACCUUGGUUCUAUUUUGUUGGUUUCUAGGACCAAGGUAAUGAUUAAUAGGGACAGUUGGGGGCAUUCGUAUUUAACUGUCAGAGGUGAAAUUCUUAGAUUUGUUAAAGACGAACUACUGCGAAAGCAUUUGCCAAGGAUGUUUUCAUUAAUCAAGAACGACAGUAGGGGGUUUGAAGACGAUUAGAUACCGUCGUAAUCUCUACCAUAAACUAUGCCGACUAGAGAUAGGGAAACGCCUACCUUGGCUUCUCCUGCACCUCAUGAGAAAUCAAAGUCUCUGGGUUCUGGGGGGGAGUAUGGUCGCAAGGCUGAAACUUAAAGGAAUUGACGGAAGGGCACCACCAGGCGUGGAGCCUGCGGCUUAAUUUGACUCAACACGGGGAAACUCACCAGGUCCAGA